GACCGCGUAGCUCAGUUGGAAGAGCAUUGGGCUAGUUUUCCAAAGGUCGUAGGUUCGAAUCCCACCGUGGCCG
rnacentral:tRNA from 1 species